rnacentral:misc_RNA from 1 species
AUUAUCAGGAAGCUUCUCAAGCCGACUGUGAACCAAUAAUAAUUACAUUAUUAAGAAGUUUCUCAAGCCGAGUUUUAAAUGUUGAAUAUAAUUCUGCGUUUCCUGCCAUUACUUUGUCAGCAUCUUUCACGAACAAAAUGAAUGGCAAAUUCCGGCUCUCAUUGAAUACAACCUCAAACAAUGUAUUAGCGAAUAACUUGUCCGGAUCAUCCACGGCAGGGGCGUCUAAGCACAGCUCGCUCAUGACUGACUCUUCACGAUUUAUCAUGCAAAUCAUUGCAUGUUCAGGAAGGUUUUUGCCCGCACCAGUCAUAAAACGUUGCUCAAAAAUCUCCACUGUUGAAUUCAGCAUUGCAGUGGACGGAAUUGUUUCUGUUUUAACCAGAGAUCUCGAGUUUGUGUUUGAAUCUUGAGUAUGAAAAAAUUCAUGAUAUGCUUUCCGCCAAAUGGGAUCCUGCGGAAACUCUGCUAUUAGUUGACACCAAGGCUUCUUCAUUUCAGCACCUUCUGUGACAGAUCUGACACCUUUUCUGGCAGCAACGCCGUCAACUUUUCCGGCAGCCUGAACUUUAUCAUUAGCCGAGCUGUUGCCGCAGAGUUUGGAUCGAUCUAUCGAAUAUUGCUCCUUCAAUAUCUCCCAGAUCGGUACCGAUUUUCCAGGUGAAUACACAUCGUUAUCAUUUGCCUUUGGACAUCGCGAAGGAGGUUUAUGAUCGGACGAUGAUGAUGACUUCUUUUUCCUUUUUUUUCUUUUGGGUGAUUGAGAGGCGGAACUUUCUCUUUGUGUUUGUGAUACCAUUUUGUUUUUUGUUUUUGAGAGGAAAAGAGUGAGAGAAGAAUAGGUUGGG